CCCUGCCUUUUGUACACACCGCCCGUCGCACCUACCGAUUGAACGAUCCGGUGAACUCCUCGGAUGUUUGAUGAUUGAGUUUACGCUUGGUUGUUGGGCAAAAGUCGAGUAAACCUUAUCGUUUAGAGGAAGGUGAAGUCGUAACAAGGU
rnacentral:rRNA from 1 species